rnacentral:rRNA from 1 species
UAGCAUAUCAAUAAGCGGAGGAAAAGAAACCCAACAGGGAUUGCCUCAGUAACGGCGAGUGAAGCGGCAACAGCUCAAAUUUGAAAUCUGGCCUCUUGGGGUCCGAGUUGUAAUUUGUAGAGGAUGUUUCGGGUACCGCCUCGGUUUAAAUUUCUUGGAACAGAAUGUCAAAGAGGGUGAGAAUCCCGUCUUGGACCGGCGGUAGGGCCUAUGUGAAACUCCUUCGACGAGUCGAGUUGUUUGGGAAUGCAGCUCAAAAUGGGUGGUAAAUUUCAUCUAAAGCUAAAUAUUGGCCAGAGACCGAUAGCGCACAAGUAGAGUGAUCGAAAGAUGAAAAGCACUUUGAAAAGAGAGUUAAACAGUAUGUGAAAUUGUUGAAAGGGAAGCGCUUGCAACCAGACUUGAGCGCGGCGGUUCCCCCUUGCUUCUGCUUGGGUUACUCCGCCGUGUCCAGGCCAACAUCGGUUCUGGGGGUCGGUCAAAGGCUCUGGGAAUGUAUCUACCCACGGGUAGACUUAUAGACCAGGGUGUCAUGCGACCUCCCGGGACCGAGGAACGCGCUUCGGCUCGGAUGUUGGCGUAAUGGUUGUCAGCGACCCGUCUUGAAACACGGACCAAGGAGUCUAACAUCUAUGCGAGUGUUUGGGUGUCAAACCCGGAACGCGGAAUGAAAGUGAACGGAGGUAGGAAGCUUCGGCUGCACUAUCGACCGAUCCUGAAGUUUACGGAUGGAUUUGAGUAAGAGCAUAGCUGUUGGGACCCGAAAGAUGGUGAACUAUGCCUGAAUAGGGUGAAGCCAGAGGAAACUCUGGUGGAGGCUCGCAGCGGUUCUGACGUGCAAAUCGAUCGUCAAAUUUGGGUAUAGGGGCGAAAGACUAAUCGAACCAUCUGGUAGCUGGUUCCUGCCGA